rnacentral:rRNA from 1 species
AUUGAACGCUGGCGGCAGGCCUAACACAUGCAAGUCGAACGAGUGGCGGACGGGUGAGUAAUGUCUGGGAAACUGCCUGAUGGAGGGGGAUAACUACUGGGAACGGUAGCUAAAAACGCAUUCCCUCGGGUGUGCCCAGAUGGGAUUAGCUAGUAGGUGGGGUAAAGGCUCAACUAGGCGACGAGCCGUAGCUGGUCUGAGAGGAUGAACAGCCACACUGGAACUGAGACACGGUCCAGACUCCUACGGGAGGCAGCAGUGGGGAAUAUUGGACAAUGGGCGCAAGCCUGAUGCAGCCAUGCCGCGUGUAUGAAGAAGGCCUUCGGGUUGUAAAGUACUUUCAGCGGGGAGGCGUUACCCGCAGAAGAAGCACCGGCUAACUCCGUGCCAGCAGCCGCGGUAAUUC